UUUGGUGGCGAUGGCGGAGGGGUUCCACACGUACCCAUCCCGAACACGACCGUUAAGCCCUCUAGCGCCGAUGGUACUUGGACC
rnacentral:rRNA from 1 species